rnacentral:sRNA from 1 species
AAUUUUGCAAUCUUCUU